rnacentral:lncRNA from 1 species
AUGUACAUUUAUAUUUUUAUGGCUUUUGUCCUUGACUUUGAUUCUGUUACCUCCAGUCUCUUCCAUGCUGCUAAAGCUUAUGAACAAGCUGGCAUGAUGUUAAAGGUAUUGACGAGUUUUUAUCAAAACACUGUCUUUUAUAGUGAAGAAUGUUGUGCACUGGGUUGUUUCAAAAUAUAUGUAAAUGAAUUGCACAUUAGUGGUGGCCUAACUCACAGUCCCCAUGAACAUCCUCGCUAGUCUAGGGAAGAUGCGUUGUAAUUGCAGGGUUUUUUUUUUCUAUAAAGAAAGAGAGGUGAGGCCUCAUAUCAUAGGGUUUACUUCUGCUCUAAAAUUCCACAGAUUCAUGCGUUACAUGGGGAAGAAAGUAAUUGUGGACUCAAAUCAGGGUAGAUUAAAGUCACAGAAAUGUAAGGUCACGUUCUAGCUCUGUUACAGCUUCACAGUUGACCACAUACUAGUAAGCUGAUAAUGAUACUGACAAUACUAAUGAUCCUGGUAAUAUCAGUAAAAGAACAACUCAGGAAAGAGGGGUGGGAGAAUCAGGUUUUCUUAUUGGGAUAGGAUUACGUUAAUCUUUUUAUUUCUAUUAGGAUCAGUAAAAAUAAGUGUACCCAGCAAUGUUUAGAAGCUGUACUGUGGCAAGACCAUUUUGUUUUGCCUGCCUGUGCCAGUAGUACUUGUUUGAUAGGCUGUUAGAAUUGCAUUCUUGGUUGAAGUAUUUUAUUCAUGUGUGACAAUUUUUUUUUUCCUACGUAUUUCACAUAGGGGUAGCAUAUAUGUUAUAUAACCCUUAAAUGCAUAUUUGCUAAAUAUUAGCUUGGCACUCCAUUAACCUUGUGAUACAACGCAUAUAGUAUGAACUGUUGCCUAACCUUUCAGUAAGGUCUUGGUGACAUCUUCAGACUUCAUGCAGUAGGUUAUUGUAAACCUCAUGAACACUAAAAUCUGCUGCUCUAGUUUGGCUGCUUAUCAGAAUCCCUAAUAGAGCGCUUUUUGAGCAUGUAAGGUUACUCAAUUGUUGUGUAGAUCACUGGGUGAAAUUAUUUGAGCUUUAUUAAAUCAGUGCAUAUUAAGGUUGCUAUUUGCAAGUGACUUUUAUGGGAUUUGUCAACUUUCAUUAGCUCCUCAAGUCUGGAAGUAAAAGUUAGAAUCUUAAUUCAGUGUUCAACCUUCUGGGAAGGUCAGUACAUCUGUGGACUGCUGUUCAGAUGCCCUCUAGCUACUUGUUAAAUUAGAC